ACAUGUUUCAUCUAAGAUCUCGCUCACUCUUGAUUUCUGGAAUUCCUACGAUCAAAUUUCUUUUAUGAGUGUUACGUGCCAGUGGAUCGAUGAAAGCUGGUCCUUCCAGAAGGUGCUUCUUGAUAUCUCUCACAUACCCUAUCCCUGUGGAGGUCUUGAGAUCUUUCAUUCUAUUGUGAAAGUUCUUAAGAUGUAUAACAUGGAAAGCAG
rnacentral:misc_RNA from 1 species